rnacentral:rRNA from 1 species
GAUCCUGGCUCAGAUUGAACGCUGGCGGAACGCUUUACACAUGCAAGUCGAACGGUAACGCGGUGAGAAGCUUGCUUCUCACCGGCGACGAGUGGCGAACGGGUUGAGUAAUACAUCGGAACGUGUCCGCUCGUGGGGGUACAACCAGCCGGAAAGGUUGGCUAAUACCGCAUGAGUUCUACGGAAGAAAGAGGGGGACCCGCAAGGGCCUCUCGCGAGCGGAGCGGCCGAUGGACUGAUUAGCCGGUUGGUGAGGUAACGG